GGAUUUUGGACUUAAAAUUUGACAGGUCCAUAAUCUUGACCACCAUCACAAUCCUAAAUCUGGAAAAAAUGGAUUUUGAACAUUAUAAUCUUAAUGCUAUUGUAAAAUAUGUUUUUGGACCAUUCAUUCUCGUACAUCUUAGUUCUUCGCAGAUCAUCAUAUGUGCACUAUUUUUUGAGGUGAAAAAUUGUGGAUAUAGAGUGGAGAAUCACUGAGGAUGCGUUUAAGAUCCUAGAUCCAUCCAUACGAUAGAUUUUUGGAAGGGGAAUGCAUUUGAAUGGAACCUCACACACACACAUCCACGCAUAUAUUUCAUCGCUGAAGUCAUUUGACAAACAUACAAGAUGGUAUUCUUCAGGCAGAAAGGGCUGCUCGAAGAGCAUCAAUCAUGCAGUCAGCCACUAUAUAUACAGUUGCAGGUGGAACAUUGUUGAACUUGGGUGUGACACUCACCUUCCAAGGCAGCCAAGCGUUCGCAAAUGGUUCAUUCAUUGGUGCUGCUGUCUUUGCUGCUUUGCUUGCUCGAUCCAUGCAAAGAGUACAAAAGCUCGACAAAUUUGAGAAGAUGAUUUGAGUUGCUUCUCGUGGCAUGUUUUCAUGCUCCCUUCAUCAUUUAAGUUUCCUUUGGGUAAUAUUUGUAAUCGAAAGCAUGUGCCCAAGCAUGCAUACAAUUGUGUAUGCGUAUAUGUAAGCCAUGGCAAUGCAUAAUUUGUAUGUAUUUGUAUUAUUUUAGUGUAAUAAUUUAUUAUUUUGUGGGGGGGAGUGGAAUGAUGGACUCCCCUUCUUGAAGAUGAA